rnacentral:rRNA from 1 species
AACGAACGCUGGCGGCAUGCCUAACACGUGCAAGUCGAACGAGACCUUCGGGUCUAGUGGCGCACGGGUGCGUAACGCGUGGGAACCUGCCCUUAGGUUCGGAAUAACUCCCCGACAGGGGUGCUAAUACCGGAUAAUGUCUUCUGACCAAAGAUUUAUCGCCUUUGGAUGGGCCCGCGUUGGAUUAGCUAGUUGGUAGGGUAAAAGCCUACCAAGGCGACGAUCCAUAGCUGGUAUGAGAGGAUGAUCAGCCACACUGGGACUGAGACACGGCCCAGACUCCUACGGGAGGCAGGAGUGGGGAAUAGUGGACAAUGGGCGAAAGGCUGAAGCAGCAAGGCCGGGUGAGUGAUGAAGGCAUUAGGGUUGUAAAGCUCUUUUAACCGGGAUGAUAAUGACAGUACCGGGAGAAUAAGCCCCGGCUAACUCCGUG